ACCUGAGAUAGCUCAGUCGGUAGAGCAAGAGACUCUUAAGCUCAAGGUCAUGAGUUUGAGCCCCAUGUUGGGCA
rnacentral:tRNA from 1 species